GAUUUGAUGCUCUUCUGGAUAGUGGGCAAGUGAGCACACGGCACUGAUAGGAUGAGCUACUGCCUCAGCAUUGAAGUAUACUCUUGGUUUCCUGACUCUUGUACUCCUUCUGGGUUGUAUCUGCUCAGGUUCAGCUUCAUUUUCUCCACUUGGCUCACCCAUUUGUGUCUCAGCUUCUGAUAUCUCAUCUUGAUCAUGAGAUACUGAGCUCUCUUCAGGUUGAGUCUGCGCAGGCUGCUCAGUACUAUCACCCCC
rnacentral:lncRNA from 1 species